rnacentral:tRNA from 1 species
GCCAGUGUAGCUCAGGGGUAGAGCACCUCUCUCGUAAAGAGGAAGUCGUUGGUUCAAAUCCAAUCACUGGCU